rnacentral:lncRNA from 1 species
GAAAAUAAAAACAAAUUAAGAAGGGUGACUGCUUAAUGUUCAAAUCCAGUUUUUUCAACCAUAUGGAUCAGCAUGUGAUUUGACGCAGUAUAUAAUAUAUAUAUAUAUAUAUAUAUAUAUAUAUAAGCAUAUAGCCUCUCUGUCUGUCCUGAGCUGCAAAGAACCAGCAAGAGAAGCAAGAUGAUCAUCAAAGUAAACCAGCGCUUGUUGGGUUUUGCUCUGCUCGCAAUUUAUAUCAUACUGAUCUCUAAAACCAUUGGUUUUACUGGCGAGUGCAUAUACUCCGUCUUUUCUAAUUUUGAAGUACUUUUGAUCACAAAUAAUUUCAUGUCCUGCUUGAUUUGCUAAUAUGCAUUACUGUUUUUUUUUUCUGGGGUCUGAUAAAUUAACAUGUUCAUGCGUAGGUCUGUAUGUGGAGAAGGUGGUCAUCCACGAACAAGCUGGUAGACCCGCCAGCCCACCACCACCUCCACCAGCGUUUCCACCAUCCCCGAGGCCCUAGACCCUCAAACGCAUGGUUACCAACGUUUAUAAGUAAUGCAUACAAAGGUUCCCGCUCUUUUUUACUCUACUACUACCAACACUUAAAUUUCUGAGUUUCAUGUGUGUAUAUAUAAUUUACUUAUAUACAUAUAAUUGGAUAAAAGAAAGAAUAAAAAGAUUUCCAGUUUAAUGAAUACAUGUCUCGAUGGUGUAUCACUGCAAGAAUGUACAACUUUAAAUUCAUUUUAUGAGGAGGGUUUACCCCUUUUACUUCUUGUUUCUUAAAUUCAUUGUCUCCUUAUUCAGUUCUUUCUAUGCGACCGUUUUUUUUUUUUUUUUGACGAAAUGCAUCUUCAUUCAAGAACAGGGGAAAAACACCCUGGGCAAACAACAUAAAAGAAGAUAGCCAAGAAAGAUACCACCUAACCACAAGCCAACUAGGUGGAGAAGCAAAAAAUUCUAUGCGACCGUUAGAAAGUCAAUAUUCAACCCAUAAUUAGUUGGAUGUGGGCGGAGAUACCCAAAAUUAUUUAAACUAUUGAUGUAAGACUAAUCUUUUUCCAUGUGAGACAAAUACUCCGAAAAGAGUCAUCUUAUCUUAAGAGACCUCCAUCGUAUGAUAAGACUAGGAAUUAUAACGGGUUUACCCCAAAACUUUUCUUUUUUUCAAUUUGCCAUAUAACACUUAGAUAUGUU